rnacentral:rRNA from 1 species
GAUCUCAGCUCAAGCAAGACUACCCGCUGAAUUUAAGCAUAUUAAUAAGCGGAGGAAAAGAAAAUAACAAUGAUUCCCUCAGUAACGGCGAGUGAAGCGGGAAGAGCUCAAAUUUUAAAGCUACAUGGUUUCCAUGUCGCGUUGUAAAUUCAAGAAACGUUUUCUCAUACAGCCCCGGNUUAAGUUCGCUGGAAUGCGAUAUCAUAGAGGGUGAGAAUCCCGUCUGUGACUGGGUGUCUGUGUGUCUACGAUACGUUUUCGAAGAGUCAGGUUGUUUGGGAAUGCAGCCUAAAAUGGGUGGUNAAUUUCAUCUAAAGCU